rnacentral:lncRNA from 1 species
CUCCUUGACCAAGCUCAGAGAAUCCCCGGCACCGGCUUUGCCUGCCCACACAAGGCAUCCAUUAUUUAGUCUGUUGAUAUAACCCCCUCUAACACACCCCCACAAGGCUGUCUGGAGCUCCUUGACAUUUCUGUGCUCCAAGAUAGCUUGGCAACAACAAGUAGCAUGCAGGAGACAGGACCUCAUGCUGAAAAAGGAGAGGUUGUUGAGAAGUGCUUGAUGCAGUUUUACUGACCCAGUAGGAUGGGCCAAAACAGUGAAGAAAAAAAAUAAGGAGAAAACAACACUCACAUUUAAGAAACCUUUCUCAUGCUGGUGUAAUAAAGGGACACGGGCAGUAAAGAAGGGAAUAGAAGCAUUCAAAUGAUCAGAGCAGGAAACAGAAAGAUGAAGUCAGGUUUCAGUUCUGCUGGAUGCUGAUCUUGGUAAGAGCUCAUUUUAACCAUCUCUACUCUGUGCUGGUACUUUCCUGCCUCUUCUUCCUCAUUGCUCAUUCUCUAUGCAUGUUUGAUUCUCUCCUGCUCUUCACAGCCUCCUGAAAAUAUGUGGACCCACAGAAAGAUAUCAAUCUUCAUUGGAAACAGUCUUCAACAAGCUCAGCUGCACAGACAACAGAAUCUUAAGUCCUGCCUGAGAGCCAAGAGUGUGUGCUAUGGUCAGAAGGUGCAGCUGUGAUUGCCACCUGAAUUAGCACUAGUCUAUGUGGCUCAGACACCAGGAACUCUUGUAGCCACAUCACCUGGAUGCUCCAACAUCCCCAAGGACUUCCCAUUUCAGUGCACUACAGGAGACAGCAGCUGGGACAGGAGCUAGUAAGCAACUGGAGAGACCAAUGGACGUGCAAGGGACCAUGAGGUAACCAGGCAAUGGAGGAUAAAGAAAGCAGGUAGAAGUGGCACACACACACUGAAUCCCCCAUGAGGUGUUAAUCCUCACCUGAAAUGCUUAUGCUUUCUAUACCCCAGCCUUCAAAAUGUACCUAUAGAUCUGGACAGCCCCUUGGAAUAGGCUGCCCAGGGAGGUGGUGCAGUCAC